AGCAUGGCUUUUUCCAUUACAGCUCACUUCCCCCUGGUCCUCAACACCCCCCCCCCAGUGCCUUUCUUUCCUCUUUCUUCCUCUUGUUUCCUCUGCCUUCUCCCUUCCCUAGCUUUCCUUACCAAUAAUAAACAUUGAUUUUAAAAAAAAGUCCUCAUUCAUCAUUUACAAUCUGCUAAAGCAGUUCUUCAAAAUUCCUGUAGGCAGGACACCUAAGUCUUGGGUUGAGCGUCAUGAAUGUUGUGUGUGUGCACGUGUGUGUGUUGCAUGUGUGUGUGUGGCAUGUGUGUGUGUGUGUGUGGCAUGUACUGGAGAGUCACCAUUGACUAUCCUGCUCUGCUUGACACCCUGCCAGCAAUUGCCCUGCCCUGGGGGGAAGCUCAGAGGCCCAGGCCCCCAGUGCUCAUCAGACAUCUGUUGG
rnacentral:lncRNA from 1 species